CACUGCUCCGCUUUGCCUCGCAUCUGUCCCACUGACUCUCUCUCUCUCUCUCUUUUCUCUCAGUAUAACUAGUGUCAUCCUCCCUCUCCCUCUCUCCCUCUCUCCCUCUCCCUCUAAAUGAGCCAGCAGUUUUUAAACGGGGGUCCAUCUGUCCGGCUGUAAACUCUUCCUCCUCCUCCUCCUCCUCCUGCUGCAGUGGUUGGUUGCUGCUACAGUACCAUGCUGUCAUGCAACAUCAGCAACACGCUAAAGAGAUCAGAGCUGCCAGUAUUCACUCUUUAUUUAAACAUGCGGAUAAAAAAAAUGCAUAAAGUUACAUCAAAAACAAUGAAUCAGAACUGGACACCAGAUUAGAUCCAAGGACUAAAAGCUUAAUUGUUCCUGGAUUCUGGGUUUAUGUUGUGUUUGAUUCUUCUUUCACAUUAUUGAGUUUUGGCUUCAGAGGUCUGCACUAUGAGGCAGGAAUUGGGCUUAUCCUGGUAAAGGCUAAGGGGUUCACUGGGGUACAUCGCUACGUUAAAUUAUGCUGCAAACCUAACCUGCUUCAUAGCAGAGACGGACCCUGUCACUGCCUACUGACAAAUCAGUUCUCUGGAAAACAGCAUCACCAUUCCAGGAAAAUCCCUCAGACCUCUGUGAGUGGACAGUAGGAGGGUCUAAAGUCUUUGUGUUUCCUUCAUAAGCAUCAAUCAUGAAUGGAAAUUCUUAGGCAAAACUUGAUUCCUUAGUAUUUUUUUCUGCAAACUGCAAUUUUAUAACAGUUUCAUUGUGCUAUAAGCACUAGCACCAUUGUUGCUAGUGUCAGUAUUGUCUGUUGUCUAUUCUGUUACACUGAGAGCAAAGAAAUAGCCCAAUUCCUUGUAUGUGACAUAUACCUGGUCAAUAAAGCUGAUUCUGAUAUCUGAUCCUAAACCUAUUUGUACUUGUUGAUCUUAUAGCAAAUUUGCAUAUAGACUAAGCCUAAGACUAAAGUCUGAUAUAGACUUGUGCCGAUGAUGUAUCCUAUGUAAG